AAGAGCGUUGAGCCGGAUGCUGCGGAUUGCUUGGAUGGUUGCAGUACUGCCUGUGUUCAAAGCGACUCGAGGCUUCAAGCACGGUGUGAACGCAAAUGCAGCAUUAGAUGCGGUCCAGGUGCCUAAUAGCUUCAGAAAGAGGAAAUGAGGACCCCACACUACCGAUGAAGGCACCGUUUUUAACUGUAUAUCUGUAUAAAGUAAAAUCUGGUCUUUGAAAAUGAAUGUAAUCUAUUGUGUAUUUUUGUGUUUUAAUUUGAUAUAAUUAAGAGAAUAAAAUUACCUAUUCUUAA